GUCCCUGAGACAGCUCGGUGGCAACGACGGCUCCUUUGUUAUGGGAAAGGGGAAAGUGGUGACCGCGCCCAGCGUUGCCUGGAGAACUCCUGGACUCACAGUGGCAAAAUGGGCCUCUCCCCGACUCCCCUCCUCCUCCUCCCGACCGCAAAGCAAAGGGCACCCUUCCUGGUGGAUGUGUGGGCAACGGGUGUCGGGUCCCUGUCCAGAACUUUGCGGGGUCCCCUGAGGGACCCGUGGUGGAACUGGCCCCGGGUUCGUCAAAUUCCGCUGAUGCUUUCAGGCAUGAGCAGUAAUGUUGAACCAAAGCAAGAGGCUUCUUGACACAGUUGCCCUAAGCCUGGCUUCUCAGAGAACGUAUUGCCGUUUUCCAGGAGACUGACUGAACAGAGAACAAGAUUGGUGUGGAAAAUGAGAGGCUUUUAAAAGUGGAAAUUUUUUGUUUGUCACCUUACAAGAAGUUGGACAGUGAAUUGUUUCAGGAAGAUGGAGAUCAUCAACAUCAAGGCCCUACCGGUGACCCCAGUGGAUGAAUACCUGGGCUUCUCUUUCGCCUGGCAUGGAAUGCAGAGCACUAUGAGGAAGGAUUCAGAGCACAGUCCUCCCGCGUGCGUGAUUGGCUCCAUGUGCCAGGUGAACCAAAGGAUUGCAGAAGCAGACCUGACUGUCAGCACGCUGGCCAACAGCCUGGCAAUUGAGAGAUUUGAGCUGGAGAAGAAGGCUUUAAGAGAGAAAAGUCACGGCAGCCCGGGAGACAGAGUCCAGAGACGAAGAAAAUCACAGUAUUCCUGCAAAGGCACAGAAUUCAGGAUUGCCAGAUCUUACAUUACAAAACGGAAAACAGCGGAUAAAAAUCUUCUGGCAGAGCUGUACCAGUAUCCCACAUUCGACAGCUCUAAGCCAACCAACCUUCCAAAUGGAGUAGACUUCUGCGACAUGGUGGGCAAUGUGGUCCGGGCUGAGAGAAACACCCUCAGUGGCAAGGCCUUCUGUUCAGAGAGAGAAUUAGAGAGGUUUCUCUCUUCUCCUCCCAUAAGAGCUAUGUGGCUGGAUAGCUUCUGGUGGAUAUUUCAUGAGAGGUACCAGCCAAACCAGGAGAUUCAGAACAAGCUGUUCGACCGGAUAGCUCAGCACUACACCUUCCUAGUGUUUCAAGUACCUAGGUCUCACUAUGAAGAGGCGCUCCUGACAAGGCUGCCAUCACUUCUGAGCAAAGGGGUGUACACCAGCUUCUGCUGCUGCUUCCCACAGUCCUUGUUCAACACACAUGAAUUCAAGUCUGAAAUCUGCAACACCCUAAGCCUUUGGAUUUCAGGUAUAUAUCCUCGCCUACAGAUCUAUGAGAAUUGGGAUUACUCGGAACUGGAUCCAGAGAGAUUCUGGAGAGAAGAAUUAUUGCUACAGAGGAAAAGAAAGAUAAGGGGAAGAGAGCUUUUUCCCUUCCCUUAUAAGACAUACUACCAGAGGAUAGAGGAGAGCAAGAAGUCCAGCCGCUGUCAGUCUUCUAAUGUAUAUUUAUACCAUGAAAAAUGCUCUUCGGCCAAGCAGAAUGCAGAAGUAAACACACGACCACAGAAUACCGUAAAAGAGCAUUAUGGUCAGGUCCUAGUCUUGAGGAAAGCUACACAACAAGUCAAGAGGAUAUCAGAAGCAAGAGAAUAUGAGAAUAUGCUUCCUAGAAAGUCUUGCCCUGCUUGCAAGAGCCCUGAAAUGGCUUUAAACUUCUUCAACGUUUAUGGGAAGAGCCCUCUGAUCGUGUACUUUCUCCAUAACUACUCCAAUCUACGGCAGCACGGCAAGGACAUGUUGAUAGUCAGGAGGGAAAGGACCAAAAGCGUCCCUGAGUCCACCCCGACUUAUGCUGACGUCAUCAGCAUGACCCUGAGCAACAUGAAGACGCGAAAGAACAACUUCAAUCAGUUGUACCAGCUUCACUGUAAUGAAUGGAGUUACUUUAACAUGUACCUACAGGGACUGCAAGACCACUUCCUCAGGGAUGUGAAGAAUGUCACUCAAAGAGCAACAGACAUAAAAAAGGAAAACCAUAUGGUCGUCCCAUCGUCCGGCCUCAAUGAGGAAUUCCCUGACAAGAAACCUAAGGGAAACCUCCAGAAAGAGAGCCAGUUUGUUUUAAGAGUUGAUUGUUUUUCUACUGCUUACCUUUCAAUAUGAAGGAGGAUCAAGUUGUGCUGGAAGAACCAGGAUUCCAAGAUGAAGAGGAAUCUUUGUUUCAAGACAUUGACCUGUUACAAAAACAUGGAAUUAAUGUGGCUGACAUUAAGAAGCUGAAAUCAGUAGGAAUCUGUACCAUCAAAGGGAUACAAAUGACAACAAGAAGAGCCCUGUGCAAUGUCAAAGGACUCUCAGAAGCCAAAGUGGACAAGAUUAAAGAAGCAGCCAACAAACUUAUUGAACCAGGAUUCUUGACUGCAUUUGAGUAUAGUGAAAAGAGGAAAAUGGUUUUCCAUAUCACCACUGGGAGCCAGGAAUUUGAUAAAUUGCUAGGAGGUGGAAUUGAAAGCAUGGCAAUCACAGAAGCUUUUGGAGAAUUCCGUACUGGAAAAACCCAGCUCUCUCAUACCCUCUGUGUGACAGCUCAACUUCCAGGAACUGGUGGCUACCCAGGAGGAAAGAUUAUCUUCAUUGAUACAGAAAAUACUUU